UGGCAUGUUUUUGUGGUGGCUGGUACUGGUUGUUUCUUUCCAUGUUUAGUGAUUCCUUCAGAAGCUCUUGUAUGGGAAGCCUCACGCUGGUAAUCCCAACACUUUGGGAAGCCAAGCUUGGCAGACAGAUCACUUGAGGUCAGGAGUUCCAGAAGAGCCUGGACAACAUGGUGAAACCCCCUCUCUACUAAAAAAAAAUUUUUUUUUAAUUAGCCAGGCAUGGUGGCACACUCCUGUAAUCCCAGCUACUCAGGAAGCUGAGGCAGGAAAAUCCCUUGAACCCAGGAGGCAGAGGUUGCAGUGAGCUGAGAUCGUGCCAUUGCACUCCAGCCUGGGUGACAGAGUGAAACUCUGUCUCAAAAAAAAAAAAGUCUGCUGUCAUGCUUUGACAAUCUCAGUGACAGUGAAAUGGUAUUUAAAGCAGAAAUAUGGAAUGUGACAGAAGAAAAAAAGAAAAUUUCACUGUACUUGUUAGUACAAGAAAUAAUUUAUCCAAGCAAUAAAGGGAAAACUCAGGGAAAAUAUUCUGAAAGUAAGAACAAGAAAACAAUAUCAGCAAAGGAACAUAUGUGAUAAAGAGAUCAAGAGUAUAUUCUAAGACCAGAGAACACUGAAGGUCAUAAAUAGGAAUAUCAACAUAUCCUUAAAGUAUGGUCUGAAGACCACAGAGGAUCCCAAAAUCUGCAGUCAAAAUUACUUUCAUAAUAACACUAUGAGGCUAUUUGCCUUUUUCAGUUUUAUUUUCUUGUAAGAGUGCAGCAAAGUGGCCAACUGUCCUGGUAUAGAAGUGAAAUUCCACAUCCUGGGAAACCCAUCCGUCUCCCACAAAUUGAGACAUGCAUCAUCCCAGACUGUAGAGAGUUUCCCAAAGAGGGUUACAGGACAUGUGAUAUUACAACAGAUUGAAUACAGAAGCAGAUACAAACAGCCAGCUGUGUUCUCUUAAGCCAAACAUUA
rnacentral:lncRNA from 1 species